rnacentral:lncRNA from 1 species
UCGAAAGAAGGACUGCUAAAACUAAAUACUCUAUCACUAGUGGUGGGUAGAGUGGCUAAGCCUUCUUCGGGGACUUGGUGGCCUUGGAAGGUGACUUGGGUUCUUUGGCUGCCUUUUCGGUUUUCUUAGGCAAAAGAACAGGAUUGAUGUUAGGCAACACCCCGCCAUGAGCUAUGGUCACACCUGCAAGUAGCUUUCCAAGUUCUUCAUCAUUCCUCACAGCCAACAACACAUGCCUUGGUAUUAUCCUGUUCUUCUUGUUAUCCCUUGCUGCAUUUCCAGCCAGCUCUAAAACCUAAUUAAUCCACACACAAAGACGAUCAUGAAACCCAACCAAAUCAUCCACAAAACUUAUCAUAGUAAUAACAACAAGAAGAAGAAACCAAAAGUAGCCACACAAAACAAAUAAGCAAUGUUAAUUACACAAAUUCCUUCCUUUUCUUCAACAACCCAAACCCAAACCCAAAUGUUCAACAUCAUUCCCCCUCUUCUGGUUCCCAGUCAACAGUUACUCCAGGCCUAGAUACAUAUCUCUACUAAUUUUAAGAAAAUAAAAAUAAAAUUGUUAUACCUCAGCAGCAAGAUACUCAAGCACAGCGGCAAGGUAGACGGGAGCUCCGGAUCCAACACGUUGAGAGUAACGGCCUUUCUUCAAGUACCGACCGAUCCGACCAACAGGGAACUGAAGACCGGCUUUGGCGGAGCGGGACACCGGUUUCUUCUUUGG